UACAGAGGGGGCAAGCGUUGUUCGGAAUUACUGGGCGUAAAGGGCGCGUAGGCGGCCUUCUAAGUCGAACGUGAAAUCCCCGGGCUCAACCCGGGAACUGCGUCCGAUACUGGAAGGCUUGAAUCCGGGAGAGGGAUGCGGAAUUCCAGGUGUAGCGGUGAAAUGCGUAGAUAUCUGGAGGAACACCGGUGGCGAAGGCGGCAUCCUGGACCGGCAUUGACGCCGAGGCGCGAAAGCCAGGGGAGCAAACGGG
rnacentral:rRNA from 1 species